UACAGAGGGUGCAAGCGUUAAUCGGAAUUACUGGGCGUAAAGCGUGCGUAGACGGUUAUGUAAGUCAGAUGUGAAAGCCCCGGGCUUAACCUGGGAAUGGCAUUUGAGACUGCAUAGCUAGGGUGCGGAAGAGGGAAGCGGAAUUUCCGGUGUAGCGGUGAAAUGCGUAGAUAUCAGGAGGAACACCGAUGGCGAAGGCAGGUCUCUGGGCUGACACUGACGCUCAUGCACGAAAGCGUGGGGAGCAAACAGG
rnacentral:rRNA from 1 species